rnacentral:rRNA from 1 species
AUCUUGCGCAAUGGCCGAAAGGCUGACGCAGCGACGCCGCGUGCGGGAGGAAGCCNCUNNGGGUGNANACCGCUGUCAGGGGGNNNNNACCCCCAGCAUGGGAAUACUGUGCUGGGCUGACGGUACCCCCAGAGGAAGCGCCGGCUAACUCCGUGCCAGCAGCCGCGGUAAUACGUAGGGGGCAAGCGUUGUCCGGAAUUAUUGGGCGUAAAGGGUGCGUAGGCGGCCUUUUAUGUCAGAUGUGAAAGCCCACGGCUUAACCGUGGGACUGCAUUUGAAACUGGAGGGCUUGAGUAUCGGAGAGGGUAGUGGAAUUCCCAGUGUAGCGGUGGAAUGCGUAGAUAUUGGGAGGAACACCAGUGGCGAAGGCGACUACCUGGACGAAAACUGACGCUGAGGCACGAAAGCUAGGGGAGCAAAC